GAUGAACGCUAGCUACAGGCUUAACACAUGCAAGUCGAGGGACAGCAUGAACAAAGCUUGCUUUGUUUGAUGGCGACCGGCGCACGGGUGCGUAACACGUAUCCAAUCUGCCCGCGGCUCGGGGAUAGCCCAUCGAAAGAUGGAUUAAUACCCGAUGGCGUGGUCACUCCGCAUGGAGUUUCCACUAAAGGUUUUCCGGCCGCGGAUGAGGAUGCGUAUGAUUAGGUAGUAGGCGGGGUAACGGCCCACCUAGCCUUCGAUCAUUAGGGGUUCUGAGAGGAAGGUCCCCCACACUGGAACUGAGACACGGUCCAGACUCCUACGGGAGGCAGCAGUGAGGAAUAUUGGUCAAUGGGCGAGAGCCUGAACCAGCCAAGUAGCGUGAAGGAAGACUGCCCUAUGGUUGUAAACUUCUUUUGUUCGGGAAUAAAGUGCAGUACGCGUACUGUUUUGUAUGUACCGUUCGAAUAAGCAUCGGCUAAUUCCGUGCCAGCCGCCGCGGUAACAC
rnacentral:rRNA from 1 species